CCUACGGGUGGCAGCAGUGGGGGAUAUUGCACAAUGGGGGGAACCCUGAUGCAGCGACGCCGCGUGGGUGAAGGAGCGUUUCGGCGCGUAAAGCCCUAUCGGCAGGGAAGAAGAUGACGGUACUUGACCAAGAAGCCCCGGCUAACUACGUGCCAGCAGCCGCGGUAAUACGUAGGGGGCAAGCGUUAUCCGGAUUCACUGGGUGUAAAGGGGGCGCAGACGGCAAUGCAAGCCAGGAGUGAAAGCCCGGGGCCCAACCCCGGGACUGCUCAUGGAACUGCAUGACUGGAGUACAGGAGGGGCAAGCGGAAGUCCUGGUGUAGCGGUGAAAUGCGUAGAGAUCUGGAGGAAUACCGGUGGCGAAGGCGGCCUCCUGGACAGUAACUGACGCUGAGGUACGAAGGCGUGGGGAGCAAACGGGAUUAGAUACCCGUGUAGUC
rnacentral:rRNA from 1 species